AAGAAUUUAUAAUCCGGCGAAAGGGGGAUGGGGGAAGCUGUCGCUGGCCUUUUGCGAGGCAUGUGCACGCUUUCUUCUGAACCCUCAGCCGUAUGGGCGCGGGGCGACCCGCGUCUUCAUAUACCCCUUCGUGUAGAAAGUCUUUGAACGUUAUAAAAUCAUCGAGUCGCGACUUCUAGGAGACGCGAUUCUUUGAGACAAAAGUUAUUA
rnacentral:misc_RNA from 1 species